UAGGGAAUCUUCCACAAUGGACGAAAGUCUGAUGGAGCAACGCCGCGUGAGUGUAGAAGGGUUUCGGCUCGUAAAACUCUGUUGUUAAAGAAGAACAUAUCUGAGAGUAACUGUUCAGGUAUUGACGGUAUUUAACCAGAAAGCCACGGCUAACUACGUACCAG
rnacentral:rRNA from 1 species